UACGUAGGUGGCAAGCGUUGUCCGGAAUUAUUGGGCGUAAAGCGCGCGCAGGCGGUCCUUUAAGUCUGAUGUGAAAGCCCACGGCUCAACCGUGGAGGGUCAUUGGAAACUGGGGGACUUGAGUACAGAAGAGGAAAGCGGAAUUCCACGUGUAGCGGUGAAAUGCGUAGAGAUCAUGAGGAAGACCAGUGGCGAAGGCGGGUCUCUGGACAGUUCCUGACACUGAGACACGAAGGCCAGGGGAGCAAACGGG
rnacentral:rRNA from 1 species